GGUUUUUUGAAUUGCGUAUUUUUUUAAACUUUUUUUUUUUUUAAUUUUAUUGCCAGUGUUGUUACUUCUGUUUUUUGUCAAUCUUGCUGUUAUCGUUGUUGUCGAUGAUAUUGUUGUAAAUGUUUUAUGGUUAUUACAGCUAUGAGUUUUAGGGAUGUUUGUUGACAUCUCCAUGCAGUAUUUGGCUGCUCUCCGGCACCCUCAUGCUCAUGUGCAGCAACAAAAAAAGAAACACUUCUGGUUCAAGGCACACCUCUGCAAUCACGCCACCGCUGCAGGGUUGUCAUGGAUACGUACACUGCAGAUCUCAGUGGGAGUCGUUCAUUUGAUUUGCUUGUUGUUGGACAGUCAGUGUUUUGGUAUGAUCAAGGGUGAGAGGUCCUAGUUCCAAAGGUUCAGAGGACAUCUAUCCCGCCGGCCUCCUAGCUGUUCCUCCAGCCCCCCCCCCUGUCUCACGCCCCCUGCUUCCAUGCCUUCCCUCCUCUUUCUUUGCCAGCUCCAUGUAGUCCACAUACACACGCACCCUCCAAGCCUGGCCUACAUGCACGUUGGUGCUUGGUUCUCCAUAGGUUCUCUGGUAGCUUUUGGGUUGACUGGAAGACCGAUUCCUCCUUUCCAUCCCUCUCUGUCAACCUCGCCUCCAUGUACACUGACACUGCACUCUAUUCCUAUGCAACGACUAAGAGAUGCGCGCUCAUAGCCAUCAGUCCACCAUCCACAUCCUGAUUGCCCCCCAGGCAUGUUGCUCACCAGACAACGCUCUGCUACUCUGUACCGGUCACCAUGUCAUCAAGCAGGGGUCUCAUACUUCAUAACUACAUGCACACCUCAGGAGUAUUAACACUAGAGUAGACUUGACAGUCCCCUGUUGGCACAUUAGCUUUGUGUGAAGUCCACCUUUACUGUACAGUUAUUUGGUGUGAACAUUUGUAAGAGCUUUUAGGUAACACUAAUGAUAACCAGCUGGAGGUUUGUUAUGAGCGAUGGCAUAUUAAGUUGUCUGGGAGUGGCAGUCCGUCCCUUUCGCGCCGUGUGCCAACUGGAUUAGAAAUGUCUUCUUCCACUCUGCCAUUCCUCAAUUCAAUUUCCUGUGUCCUGCACUUAAAGGAACAUGGUGACAUAGAAACGACGGAUGGAAGUCAUGGAGGCAGGACAGUAGGCAAUCCACUCUAGAAAAUGUGCAUUUUCGGGGCGAUCUCAGCUGAGGGAAAGCAAUUCGGGGGAUUCAGACCUGCAUCUGUGCACUGCUGGUGGGUCACAUUACAUACACCUUUUUGAAAACCAAAACAUUUGUUGUUAUUGUUAAUGGAUUGAACAAAGUAAGAUAAAAAUGUGUAUAUAUAUCAUAAAGUAUGUUUUUAGCCGUGCACUCCGAGGCUGAGAUUCCUCAUUGUCUUUUUGCAAGCCUUUUUUCCUCAAUUGUGGCACUUUGACUGAGGCUACUUUGAGGCCCACUUAUCUUAUCAGCAGGGCCAGGACAAACCUGUUAUCUUUGGUACCGAGUCUUAAAAGGGGGAAGGCCCUCUUCCAAAAGUUGGUUUUCAUACUUGCUGUUGUGUGACAUUGGCAACAAUCACUAAUUGCCUGUUUCUGAAGAAAACAUUUAGUUUUUUGCUCCACAUGGGUCUCCCCUGGCCAUGGACUGGUUUAGGGUGACAGUGGGGGAGGGGUGGGGGUUCCUGAUAUCGUGGGUCAAGUGUGAGGUGCCCCAGGAUUCUCUGUGCAGCACCUGCAGCCCCUCAUUCUACCUGCCCUUGACCCCUUUAUUGACCUGCCAACAUAAACUGCCGGUGUGGGAAGUCAAAAAGGUUUCCCCUUUUAAACCAUGCAGGCUUAAAGUGUGGCCCUCAGUCACAGAAAAGAGAAGGGUCUGGAGCCAGGGGCCCCUUUCAAGAGGAAACAAAGCAAGCAUCUUUCUCAAGGGGCCUGGGUUGAAUAUGCACAUGUUAGUUUAUAUGCACAUAUACAUCCAAGUGUAUGUAAUGUGGAUGUAUAUGUUUAUAUAGCUAGAUAUCUCUUUCCACUUUCCCCAAAGCCCAGUUGCCCUGCCCAAACCCCACCCUGUGUAUCCGCCUUUACAUAUAUUUCCCAAUGAAAAAGAUCAUAUUAACAUAUCAGAGUAAUACAAAAAGAUUGAAUACAAAUACUUGAAUCAAAAGCGCCAAUUAUGUAAUGUGAACACUUUUGUAAUAAUUUUCUCAUUCAUACACUUCCAAGAUUUUUUGAUAACAUCUGUUCAGAGUGAACAAAAAAUUGUUAAAAACAAAGACUGGUAAAAAAAAAAAAAAAAAUCUGUAAUUGAGUGUUUGCACAAGAUUGAUUGUGUGUGUGUGUGUGUGUGUGUGUGUGUGUGUGUGU
ensembl:lncRNA